rnacentral:rRNA from 1 species
GAUGAACGCUAGCGGCAGGCUUAACACAUGCAAGUCGAGGGGUAACAGGGAAGAGCUUGCUUUUCCGCUGACGACCGGCGCACGGGUGAGUAACGCGUAUAGAACCUACCUUUUACAGGGGAAUAGCCCAGAGAAAUUUGGAUUAAUGCCCUAUAGUAUUAUUGAAUGGCAUCAUUUAGUAAUUAAACAUUUAUGGGUAAAAGAUGGCUAUGCGUUCUAUUAGCUAGAUGGUAAGGUAACGGCUUACCAUGGCAACGAUAGAUAGGGGUCCUGAGAGGGAGAUCCCCCACACUGGUACUGAGACACGGACCAGACUCCUACGGGAGGCAGCAGUGAGGAAUAUUGGACAAUGGAGGCAACUCUGAUCCAGCCAUGCCGCGUGCAGGAAGACGGCCCUAUGGGUUGUAAACUGCUUUUAUACGGGAAGAAACCCAACUACGUGUAGUUGGCUGACGGUACCGUAAGAAUAAGCACCGGCUAACUCCGUGCCAGCAGCCGCGGUAAUACGGAGGGUGCAAGCGUUAUCCGGAAUCAUUGGGUUUAAAGGGUCCGUAGGCGGGCUAAUAAGUCAGGGGUGAAAUCCAACAGCUUAACUGUUGAACUGCCUUUGAUACUGUUAGUCUUGAAUUAUAUGGAAGUAGAUAGAAUGUGUAGUGUAGCGGUGAAAUGCUUAGAGAUUACACAGAAUACCGAUUGCGAAGGCAGUCUACUACGUAUAUAUGAC